rnacentral:tRNA from 1 species
AAGUCCAGGGUCUACUAAAACCUACUCCGAAUUUGCACUUCGGACUGCUGGACUUGGGAA